rnacentral:rRNA from 1 species
GGAGGGUGCAAGCGUUAUCCGGAUUUAUUAGGUUUAAAGGGUUCGCAGGCGGAAUUUUAAGUCAGUGGUGAAAGCCUACAGCUCAACUGUAGAACUGCCAUUGAAACUGAUAUUCUUGAGUAUAGAUGAAGUGGGCGGAAUAUGUCAUGUAGCGGUGAAAUGCAUAGAUAUGACAUGGAACACCAAUUGCGAAGGCAGCUCACUAAACUAUUACUGACGCUCAUGAACGAAAGCGUGGGGAGCGAACAGGAUUAGAUACCCUGGUAGUCCACGCCGUAAACUAUGAUCACUAGAUGUUGGCGAUAUACUGUCAGUGUUUUAGAGAAAUCGUUAAGUGAUCCACCUGGGGAGUACGUUCGCAAGAAUGAAACUCAAAGGAAUUGACGGGGGCCCGCACAAGCGGAGGAACAUGUGGUUUAAUUCGAUGAUACGCGAGGAACCUUACCAAGGCUUAAAUGUAGGUUGACAGGUUGUGAAAACAAUUUUUCUUCGGACAAUUUACAAGGUGCUGCAUGGUUGUCGUCAGCUCGUGCCGUGAGGUGUCGGGUUAAGUCCCAUAACGAGCGCAACCCCUAUUUUUAGUUACCAGCGAGUAAUGUCGGGAACUCUAGAAAGACUGUUUGUGUAAACAGUGAGGAAGGUGGGGAUGACGUCAAAUCAUCACGGCCCUUAUGUCUUGGGCUACACACGUGUUACAAUGGUUACUACAGUGGGCUGCCAUCUGGCAACAGAGAGCAAAUCCAUAAAGGUAAUCCUAGUUCGGAUCGGAGUCUGCAACUCGACUCUGUGAAGUUGGAUUCGCUAGUAAUCGUAUAUCAGCAAUGAUACGGUGAAUACGUUCCCGGGCCUU